AGGUCCCUGCUGCCCCCACAGAGCCUGGCAACCCCCGCCCCUGGCCAGGUAUAAGGGCCCUCGGCCCAGCAGGGGAUCCAGGCUGUGGAGGUGCCAUGGCCAAGUCCCAGCGGCUGCUGUGGCUACUACUGCUGUCCACGCUGUGCGGCGCAGGCGCCGCUGACUGGACCGCCUCGUCCCUGGAUUGUGCCCGAGGUCCCGGGUUCUGGUGCCAAAGCCUGGAGCAAGCACUGCAGUGCAGAGCCCUGGGGCACUGCCUACAGGAAGUCUGGGGCCAUGCAAGAGCUGAUGACCUGUGCCAAGAAUGUGAGGCCAUCGUCCGCAUCUUCACCAAGAUGACCAAGGAGGCCAUUUUCCAGGACACGAUGCGGAAGUUCCUGGAGAAAGAGUGUGACGUUCUGCCCUUGAAGCUUCUCGUGCCCCAGUGCAGUCACCUGCUCGACACCUACUUCCCAGUGCUCAUUGACUACUUCCAGAGCCAGAUUAACCCGAAGGUCAUCUGCAAGCACCUGGGCCUGUGCAAACCUGGGCGUCCAGAGCCAGGGCAGGAGUCAGGGCUGUCAGACCUGCUGCCGGAGAAGCUGAUCCUCCCCCGGCUGCCGGGAGCCCUCCAGGAUCUCUCCGAGCAGCGGCUGCCCAUCCCCCUCCCCUACUGCUGGCUCUGCAGGGCUCUGAUCAAGCGGAUCCAAGUUGUGAUGCCCAAGGGUGUGCUGGCCAUGGCUAUGGGCCAGGUGUGCCAUGUCGUACCCCUGGUGGUGGGUGGCAUCUGCCAGUGCCUGGCCGAGCGCUACACUGUCCUGCUGCUAGAUGCUCUGCUGAGCCGCGUGCUGCCCCAGAUGGUGUGCGGCCUGGUCCUCCGGUGCUCCGAGGAGAGCCCUGGCCCCGUCCUCACAGCUCCGGAGUCCCUGCCCAGAGAAUGGUUACCUCAAGAGUCCGAGUGCCGCGUCUGCAUGUUCGUGGCCACACAGGCUGGGAACAGCAGCGAGCAGGCCAUGCCGCAGGCAAUACACCAGGCAUGCCUCAGCUCCUGGCUGGGCAGGCAAAAGUGCGAGCAGUUUGUGGAGCAGCACACACCCCAGCUGCACACCCUCAUGGCCGGGGGCCAGGAUGCCCACGCCACCUGCCAGGCCCUGGGCGCGUGUAAGACCACGUUCAGUCCUCUCCAGUGUACCCACAUUCCUUACUUCUGACGAGAACUCAGAGCCAUGGCAGAAUCCUGCCACCCCUGGGGCUAGGCCCAGCUCCCACCUCCCUCACCUUAUCCCGGGCCUCAGAGGGAGCUGCAGCUCACCCUCUGCACUCACUGAUCUUCAGUAUUUGACGUACCAAGGCCAACCUUUCCUGAAGUUCGGGGGAAAUCAUGCUGUGCUGCACAAAGAAGUUGUCCCCUUAGAAGCCAGGAACUCCACCAUCAUCUGACUCCUCCUUCCUGAGACACAUUUCUCUCUUCCUGACUGUCAUUGUCUAAGUCAGAGGUAGCACCUUAGAAUGGAGGGCCUAAAGGAGAGCCACUUUCUUCCUCUCCGGGUGUGAGGAGCAGCCAGGGCAGCAUCUGCUGGAGGAGAUCUGCAAGAGGGGGGCUUCCGGCACAGGGACUUCCGGCCAGACUUCACACACCCCACUGGAGCCAGCCCAGCUCCCACAACACCCCCAGGCUUGGUCCCGGGGAACUCGUCAGCCACACACUCCUUCCCUGGCUCCAAGAGGACAGCCUGCCUCACUUUCAUCUCCAUGUGCAUAAGAUACUGGCUUUUACAGUGGUUUUGCCAAUAUUUUCACAAAACUCAAAUUCAGAAGAAUAAAAAAAAUGGGAACAUCAAGUACCAUAAAAGAUAGAUAUAUGAAGUCAAACUUUAAAAAAAAAAAAAAAAUCAGGAAAUCCCUGACUUGUCAAGAAUGGAUGCAGCAGGGCUCAAGCAAGGUGGGAAGGUGAUUGGACAAACUUUCAUAUUUGAGAUGUUCUCCGGCUUAAGGGCUAUCACUUUAAGAUGUAAAAAGGGGUUUUCUUUUUAUCUUUUUGCAAGGCAAGCUUCCUCCAAGUUUUGGCUGAAAUUCCAGGGUGAUUCCAUUUCUGCUAUGAUUUAUCUCCUCAAAGCUCAGUUGGGGCACGGGCUAAAAAUCAGUUCCUAUGUAAUCCAAUGCCUGUAACAAUACUAAUAAAGCCUAUUGCUUCAUACUAAAAGGAAAAAGACAGUCAUUGAAAAUGCCCCCGAAGCCUGCAGCCUCACGCAGCUGGACUGGGCAGCGACAUCACUCUCCUCCUUGAGGGAGAAGUCGGCGCCCACAGUGCUGCCCCCUCCCCGUAAAUGCUUCCCGCCCCACCCCCGCCUCUCACCCUCCCCUCUCCCAAAGAGCCCACUCGUGGGGAUGAGAUGAGGUUGUUAGGGUACCCCAAAAAUCAAAAUAUACAACAACAAAAUUAAAUAAACCUUUAUCUUUAAAGACC